rnacentral:misc_RNA from 1 species
AAAGUCGUAACAAGGUUUCCGUAGGUGAACCUGCGGAAGGAUCAUUACACUCAGUAGUUUACUACUGUUAAGGAGGCUAUUAGUCUGUAUAGCUUAAUCGCUGAUGAGCAGCUUGCCUCUUUUCUCCACCCUUGUCUUUUGCGUACCCAUGUUUCCUCGGCAGGCUUGCCUGUCGAUUGGACAAUUCUAUAACCUUUUUAAUUUUUAAUCAGCGUCUGAAAAACUUAAUAAUUACAACUUUCAACAACGGAUCUCUUGGUUCUG